GCCCAGCUCGGGGUUCAAGGAAGGCUUCCUGGAGGAGGGAACACAGAAGGCGCACAUCCUAAAAGUGCUGGCAUCCCAUAUGGGCAGUGGCUCGAGUCCCGGCUGCUCCACCUCUGACCCAGCUCUCUGGCCUGGGAAAGCAGUGGACGAUGAUUCAUGUGCUUGGGCCCCUGCACCCGCGUGGGAGACCCAGAAGAGGCUCCUGGCCCCUGGCUUCGGAUCGGCGCAGCUCCGGCCGUUGCAGCCAUUUGGGGAGUGAACCAGCGAAUGGAAGACCUCUCUCUGCCACCUCUCUCUGCAACUCUACCUCUUAACAAAACAAAACAAAACAAAACAAAACAAAACAAAAAAACAAGGCUGGGACUGCAUUGUGCCCUAGUGGGUUAAGCCACGUGUGAAUGCAAGUUGGAGUCCUGGCUGCUCCACUUCCGAUCCAGCUGCUCCCUAAUGCAUCCGGGAAAGCAGUGGAAGACGGCCCCAGUGCUCAGGCCCCUGCACCCAUGUGGGAGACCCGGAUGCAGGCUCCUGGCUCCACUUUGGCAGUGGUGGGCAUUCUGGGGAUUGACCCAGUGGAUGGAAAGCUCUCUUUGUGUCUGUCACUCUUUCCAAUAGUGCAUCUUAAAAAAAAAAAAAAGAGGCUGGAGCUGGGAGGAAUCACGCGGAGACCCAGCAGCUGCUGUGGAGGUGGUGAAUUUUAUUAAGGGGGGGGCGUCCACCAGGGCGGGAAGGCGGGGCGCGCGGGGCGGGGCGGCCCGCGAGGCGCUCACUGGUUGUCGCUGGGCGCCGCCGCGGGCGCCUUGCUGGUCACGGCGGCCUGCACCUUCUCCACCAGCCCGGCCCACUGGCGCUGCAUGUCUUCCAC